rnacentral:lncRNA from 1 species
UCUCCCAGGGAGUCGCCGCCGCCCACGGGUGCGUUGUGGCUUGGGGAUGCCUCCCCAGCCCGGCCCCGUCACCGGUGAGGCGCCGGCCGUCGAGCCGCGCCGCCCCCUUGCUGCGCUCUGUUUUGGCGCGGGGAAGAAGAAGGUCCUAGCGCCGGGGGCCCACGCGUCAGUAGGGAAGGAGGGAAUGGGAGAGGGCCGGCCGGGUGAAGGAGUAAGGCCGUGGGCUGGUUCAGCAGGCCGGGUGCCGGGGGAAGAAAAGAAAAAGAAGGGUGGGCCGGUGGGCCGCCAGAAGAGUAGGAAGGAGAGAGGAGGAAGUGAAGUCGGCCCAGCAGGCUAGCAGUGUGAGAGUGGGCCGGCGGGUAAGGUGUAGAGGAGGAAAAGGUGGACCCGAGCCGUGGGCCCAGAGCGAGUGAGAGAGGGUAGAGAGGUAGAGAGUGAGAAAAGUUGGGCCGGGGGUUUUGGGAUAAAAUUUAGGUUUUUCUUUAUUAGAUUAAUAGAUUAAAUUCAUUUUUCACCAUUUAAAUCACAGAAAUUUCUAGGAGUGUCCAAAAUUAGUGAAACCAAUUUUAUUAGGAUUAUUUUAUUUUCCUUUAGGUAUUAAAAUUCUUAUACCUUAGGAAAAAUAAUAAAAUUUAGGUAUUUGUUUAAUGCCUUUUCAUUAAGGUAUUUAAAUAAAUACUUAACCUUUAUUAAAUGCAUAAAAUAUUGGAUAAUGUUUUCAUAUUCACAAAAUUAUUAUUAACCCAUAGGAGUUAGGUUUUGAGAAUAGAAAAUAUUUAUAAUAUUUUCUAAUAAUAAAAGAAAAAGCCUAAGGUAGGAUUAGUAAAGAAAAUAAAAAUAGCGGGUUAAUCUUUUUGGGUUUUUGUGUGUUGACUUGCAAC